GAAGUUUAGUAUCAACUCUGGCUCUCCUUCCCUGCUAGGGCUAAAUGUUAAUAUUAUCCAAGGAUGUUUCCAAGUGAAUCUCUGCCAGUUCUCUCUUUCCAAGUCACAUCUCAGAGUCUCUUCACUUGAAUCAAGCUACUCCCAGCUUCUGCACACAUCUGGUCCAACACUACUUUGGGAUAUGUUUUGCUAAGGUUGCUGUUCUGCCUGGAAGGCCCUCAUUCCUCAGCUGCAUGACCCGAGGUUUCCUUCCUCUAAGACCUUGCUAGCGGCUCCUAGAUGCCUUCCAAACCAAAUUCUCUUCUAUGAGAUCAGCUCUCAGCUUUGUAUUCCCUGGCACUUAUGGAGUAUGUUAUGGAGGUAAGAAAAGAAAAUAAGUGCAACAUGCCAGAAAUCCAGUAAAGCAGUUCAAGUAUCAGAAGAGCAUGAAUCAAAACCAAGUGCAAGAAGAGGCACCUUGACAUUGAACUGAAGGCCACCAGGUACUCACUGGGUCAAUGACUCUUCUCAUUUUUAUUCUCCUGCCAGUGCUUCCAAUCGCUGAACUGAACUGGAAACAAAUCAACAAGGGAAACCAAGAGAUGCAUUCCUUGAAGUUCAGCCUCCUGGCCUCAAGUAAGGCAGAGGAAGAGAAUACAUAGAUCUGUGGAGAAGAGUGGUGAUGGUGGGAGCUGCCAAUAAAGAACUAUCAAAAAAGGGAAGAUUGCAGAUCACACUGCGCUUUGGGAGUCAAGUGGCAGACAGCUGUGGCUUCAGCUUCCAGCGGUCACACAACUCCAGAGGGACUGGAAGGUCAAGGGAAGCAUGUAGAACCGCAGGCUGUUCACGUGGCUUGGAGGAGGAGAUGACCCACCCUUAAUAAAACACCGUCUGCCGGACAUGCCAUUGGGACUGGCAUGCUAAUUGAAAACAGCAGGAGUGGCUCUGCAGCUCUUUGACUUUAGCACUCAGCUUAGCAUAACUUUUCCUUCCACAGGAAAGCAGUCCUCGGCCAGUAAAGCUGUGUUUCUUAAAAAAAGAAAAAAAUCCAAACAAACCACUGCUCUAGUAGAAGAUAAAGAAACACUUAUCUUUAUUUUCUUUUUUAGGAAGUUCCAUCUUAUUUAAUUAAUUAAUUUAUUUUAUUUUAUUUUUUCAAGUGGACCAAAGCUUGACACUGCUGUCCACAAAUAUUUUAUCAAAUUAGGAUGGAAAAUACCUAUUAAUCAAAUUCAUUUUUUUCAAUAUUAUGAGUGCCCUGUUAUUUUUACUACAAUUUAUUUUUCUUUUUUCUACAUCAAAGUAAAAUGGGCAAAUAGUUCAAUAGGUUUGUAUUAUUUUUAUGGAAUAGCAGUAAAGUGCCUACCUCUCCCAACCCCAGUUUUCUUUCCUGGAAGCAACUACUUUAUUCUCUUUUAGCUAUUUCCUUUAUUACUUACCUCUGUUCCUUUAAAUAAUAUGCUUAGUGUUAGUUUUGGUUUUUUAAUUUUAAGCAAUACAUAUUGACUUUCUACUAUGAAAAAUUAACAUUUAACUUUCGUCACUCCACCUCUUUCUCAUUCAUUUUUUGUUUCCCUAGCCUCUCAAUAUAAUUAUAUUGUAAUUUUGGUUAAAUAGGUGAUAAGUAUUCACAUUAUUAAAAAUAGCAUAUAUAUGUGUAAUGCUAUUUACCGAUGAGCUAUAUAGGAUAAAAUGAUUAUUCUUCACCAUUUAUAUAGCGUUUUAUUUUCCUAGAAUUAUAAAUUUUUCUCGUUUUUUUCUGUUCAUUUAGUUUUCUAUAUAUUUAUCAUGAAUUCAUUUUUAAACUCUCACAAGUUAUCUGUAUCUCCUUUUUAAAUGUUUAAACAUCAAGUGUUUUAUCAGUUCUUUCUUGUGGCUAGAUUUCUUCUGAAGCCUUUCUUGCACGCUAACUUCUUUGUCUUUAAAUUGAUAUAUCAUACAUGUACAUAGUCCUCUAGAGUGUUUUUGAUCUGCUGUAAUCUGGACUAGUUUCUCUCAAAGCCAUCAUCAUGGUCUUUCCCUUGGCCAUUAUACUGAGAAUUCCAUUUGCUUCCCUCUUGAGUGGAUCUACUGUUUUCUAGAUUCUCUCUCCUUUGUACGGAUUUAUUCUCUUAUUUUGCAGUAUUUGAACAACACUGUAAAGAUUUCUCCUUGCUCAUUUAUUAAGCAAGGAGUUCCCUCACUUUCUUCUGUAGUUCUCUGAACCCUUUAAUAUUGGGGAAAGGAUGAUGUUGUUUAAAUACUAUACAGUAUUAUUAGUCACAUUGUACUAUGGUCUAUUGAAGAAAUUAAAUAUCACAUAAUUCCAUUUUUAAUUUUUUAGAAUAAGACAACAGAUGUCGGAGUAAUAUCUGUAUUUUAUUGAACUUUAUGAUAAUAUGGCAAUCAAGCUAUUUUUAAAAAGGCUCUGCUCUGCCACUACAGAUAGCUAAAAGUUCAGGAUAAUAUGUAAUAAAAUUUAAAAAAUAUAUAAACUGGUUUCAAGUGAAAGGAAAAUUCUAAGUUGGCAAAUACAAAAAAAGAGAACUCAAACCAGAUCAGGCUGUGGGGGCAGCUGAGACCAUGUAAACCACAGGAGCUAUGGAUACAGAUAUCGAAUUUAAGGGCUGGGAGAUAGGCUAUUAAUGCCGGGCUGGGAGAUAGGCUAUUAAUGCCCAGCUGGGAGGAGGAAAAAGUCUUAAAACUGCAAGCUUUGAAGUCUGAGUGGAAAGAAGUCUUCAAAUUCUUGCUUAAAAUGCUACAGUCCCUUACCAUAACAAUCAGAAUUAAGUCCACAUUAGCAUGGCUUACAAAGCCCUUAAUCUGAGAAUUUCCUGUGAAAUUUCCAGCCUCAGCUAUUUCCAUGUGGUGCCUGAAACAUAUAUACAGUCUUAAUCAACGAUACACAUGGUCACAAAUAGGCUAUACACAUGGUCACAAAUAGGCUAUACACUCUUUCUUUUCCAUUUGAAAGCUUUUUAUUAUUAUUAUUAUUAUUAUUAUUAUUAUUAUACUUUAAGUUCUGGGAUACAGGUGCAGAACGUGCAGGUUUGUUACGUAGGUAUACACGUGCCUUCAUAGUUUGCUGCACCCAUCAACCCAUCAUCUACAUUAGGCAUUUCUCCCUAAUGCUAUCCCUCCCCUAGCCCCCCACCCCCCGACAGGCCCUGGUGUGUUGUGUGAUUUUCUCCUCCCUGUGUCCAUUUGUUCUCAUUGUUCAACUCCCACUUAUGAGGGAGAGCAUGCGGUGUUAGGUUUUCCAUUCCUGUGUUAGUUUGCUGAGAAUGAUGGUUUUCAGCUUCAUCCAUGUCCCUGCAAAGGACAUGAACUCACCCUUUUUUGUGGCUGCAUAGUAUUCCAUGGUGUAUAUGUGCCAUAUUUUCUUUAUCUAAUCUAUCAUUGAUAGGCAUUUGGUUGGUUCCAAGUCUUUGCUAUAGUGAACAGUGCCACAAUAAACUUAUAUGUGCAUGAGUCUUUAUAGUAGAAUGAUUUAUAAUCCUUUGGGCAUAUACCCAGUAAUGGGAUUGCUGGGUCAAAUGGUAUUUCUAGUUCAAGAUCCUUGAGGAAUUGCCACACUGUCUUCCACAAUGGUCGAACUAAUUUACACUCCCACCAACAGUGUAAAAGCAUUCCUAUUUCGGCACAUCCUCUCCAGCAUCUGUUGUUUCCUGACUUUUGAAUGAUUGCCAUUCUAACUGGCAUGAGAUUGUAUCUCAUUGUGGUUUUGAUUUGCAUUUCUCUAAUAACCAGUGAUGAUGAGCUUGUUUUCAUGUUUGUUGGCCACAUAAAUGUCUUCUUUUGAGAAGUGUCUGUUCAUAUCCUUUGCCCACUUUUUGAUAGAGUGGUUUGUUUUUUUCUUGUAAAUUUGUUUAAGUUCCGUGUAGAUUCUGGAUAUUAGACCUUUGUCAGAUGCAUAGAUUCCAAAAUUUUUCUCUCAUUCUGUAGGUUGCCUGUUCACUGUAAUGAUAGUUUCUUUUGCUGUGCAGAAGCUCUUUAGUUUAAUUAGAUCCCAUUUGUCAACUUCAGCCUUUAUUGCCAUUGCGUUUUGUGUUUUAGUCAUGAAGUCUUUGCCCAUGCCCAUGUCCUGAAUGGUAUUACCUAGGUUUUCUUCUAGGGUUUUUAUGGUUUUAGGUCUUAUGUUUAAGUCUUUAAUCCAUCUUGAGUUAUUUUUUCUAUAAGGUGUAAAGAAAGGGUCCAUUUUCGGUUUUCUGCAUAUCGAUAGCCAGUUUUCCCACCACCAUUUAUGAAAUAGGGAAUCAUUUCCCCAUUGCUUGUUUUUGUCAGGUUUGUCAAAGAUCAGAUGGUUGUAGAUGUGUGGCAUUAUUUCUGAGGCCUCUAUUCUGUUCCACUGGUCUAUAUAUCUGUUUUGGUACCAGUACCAUGCUGUUUUGGUUACUGUUGCCUUGUAGUAUAUAUACUAUAUCAGUAGUGAUAUACUAUAUACAGUAGUGAUGCCUCCAGCUUUGUUCUUUUUGCUUCAGAUUGUCUUGGCUAUACAGGCUCUUUUUUGGUUCCAUAUGAAAUUUAAAGUAGUUUUUCCUAAUUCUGUGAAGAAAGUCAAUGGUAGCUUGAUGGGAAUAACAUUGAAUCUAUAAAUUACUUUGGGCAGUAUGGCCAUUUUCAUGAUAUUGAUUCUGCCCAUCCAUGAGCAUGGAAUGUUUUUCUAUUUGUGCCCUCUCUUAUUUCCUUGAGAAGUGGUUUGUAGUUCUCCUUGAAGAGGUCCUUCACAGACCUUGUAAGUUGUAUUUCUCGGUAUUUUAUUCUCUUUGUAGCAAUUGUGAUGGGAGUUCACUUAUGAUUUGGCGCUCUGUUUGUCUAUUAUUGGUGUGUAGAAAUGCUUGUGAUUUUUUUUUUUUCUUUUUUUGAGACGGAGUCUCGCUCUGUCGCCCAGGCUGGAGUGCAGUGGCGCGAUCUCAGCUCACUGCAAGCUCCGCCUUCCGGGUUCAGGCCAUUCUCCUGCCUCAGCCUUCCUAGUAGCUGGGACUACAGGUGCCCGCCACCACGCCCAGCUAAUUUUUUUUUGCAUUUUUAGUAGAGACAGAGUUUCACCGUGGUUGCCAGGAUGGUCUCUAUCUCCUGACCUCAUGAUCCGCCCACCUCGACCUCCCAAAGUGCUGGGAUUACAGACGUGAGCCACCGCGCUCGGCCAGAAUGCUUGUGAUUUUUGCACCUUCAUUUUGUAUGCUGAGACUGUGCUGAAGUUGCUUAUCAGCUUAAGGAGAUUUUGGGCUGAGAUGAUGGGGGUUUCUAAAUAUACAAUUAUGUCAUCUGCAAACAGACAACUUGACUUCCUCUCUUCCUAUUUGAAUCCUCUUUAUUUCUUUCUCUUGCCUGAUUGCCCUGGCCAGAACUUCCAAUACUAUGUUGAAUAGGAGUGGAGAGAGAGGGCAUCCUUGUCUUGUGCCAGUUUUCAAAGGGAAUGCUUCCAGCUUUUGCCCAUUCAGUAUGAUAUUGGCUGUGGGUUUGUCAUAAAUAGCUCUUAUUAUUUUGAGAUAUGUUCCAUCAAUACCUAGUUUAUUGAGAGUUUUUAGCAUGAAGGGCUGUUGAAUUUUGUUGAAGGCCUUUUCUGCAUCUAUUGAUAUAAUCAUGUGGUGUUUGUCAUUGGUUCUGUUUAUGUGAUGGGUUAUGUUAAUUGAUUUGCGUAUAUUAAACCAGCCUUGCGUCCCAGAGAUGGAGCCAACUUGAUUGUGGCGGAUAAGCUUUUUGAUGUCCUGCUGGAUUCAGUUUGCCAGUAUUUUAUUGAGGAUUUUUGCAUCAAUGUUCAUCAGGCAUAUGGCCUGAAAUUUUCUUCUUUGUGUGUGUCUCUGCCAAGGUUUUGGUAUCAGGAUGAUGCUGGCCUCAUAAAAUGAGUUAGGUGGUGUUCCUCUUUUUCUAUUGAUUGGAAUAGUUUCAGAAGGAAUGGUACCAGCUCCUCUUUGUACCUUUAAUAUAAUUCAGCUGUGAAUCUGUCUGAUCCUGAGCUUUUUUUGGUUGAAUACCACAUUUUCUUAAUUCAUCCAUUGCUGGACACUUAGGUUGCUUUCACCUCUUAGCUAUAAUAAUAAUGCUGCAAUGAACAUGGCAGUGCAAAUACCUUUUUGAGAUCUUGUUUCCAGUUCUUUCAGAUAAAUACGAAGAAGUUGGAUUGCUAGAUCCCAUAGUAAUUCUAUUUUUUAAUUUUUUGAGGAAACUUCACACUGUUUCCCACAGCAACUGCACCAUUUUACGUUCCCACUGUCAAUGACAAGGGUUCCAAUUUUCUCACCAAUACUUGUUACUUGUUAUUUUUCAGGUUUGGGUUUUUGGUGUUUUUUUAUUAUUAUUAUUUAUUUGUUUGUUUCUAACAUAAUUGCUAUGCUAACAAAUGUGAGGUGAUGUCUCAUUGUUAUUUUGAUUUGUACUUCCCUGAUGAUUAAGAGAAUAUCUUUUGUUCAGCAUCUUUACAUAUACUUGUUGGCCAUUUGUAUGUCUUCCUUGGAGAAAUGUCUAUUCAAGUCUUUUGCUCAUUAAAAAAAAAUGGUUUGUUGUUGUUGAUAUUAUUGACUAGUAGGAGUUCUUAAUAGUUUUAGAUAUUAACCCCUUUACAGAUAUCUGGUUAUUCCAAGAUUUUCUCCCAUUUCAUUAGUUGCCAUUCCAAUCUAUUGAUUGUUUCCUUUGCUGUGCAGAAACUUUUUACUUUGAUGUUGUCUCAUUUGUCUAUUUUUGCUUCUGUGGUUUGUGCUUUUGGUGUCAUAUAUAGGAAAUCAUUGCCAAGACCAAUAUUAUAAAGCUUUUCUCUUAUGUUCUUUUCUAGAAAAUUUUAUAGUUUUCAGGUAUUAUGUCUAAGUCUUUCAUCCAUUUUAUGUUGAUUUUUGUGUAUGGUGUAAAACAAGGGUCCAAUUUCAUUCUUUUGAAUGUGGCCAUCUACUU